AUUGAACGCUGGCGGCAGGCCUAACACAUGCAAGUCGAACGCGUGGCGGACGGGUGAGUAAUGUCUGGGAAACUGCCUGAUGGAGGGGGAUAACUACUGGAAACGGUAGCUAAUACCGCAUACCAGAGGAUGUGCCCAGGUGGGAUUAGCUUGUAGGUGGGGUAAAGGCUAACCUAGGCGACGAACCCUAGCUGGUCUGAGAGGAUGACCAGCAACACUGGAACUGAGACACGGUCCAGACUCCUACGGGAGGCAGCAGUGGGGAAUAUUGCACAAUGGGCGCAAGCCUGAUGCAGCCAUGCCGCGUGUAUGAAGAAGGCCUUCGGAUUGUAAAGUACUUUCAGCGGGGAGGCGUUACCAGCAGAAGAAGCACCGGCUAACUCCGUGCCAGCAGCCGCGGUAAUAC
rnacentral:rRNA from 1 species